GACGAACUUUGGCGGCGUGCUUAACACAUGCAAGUCGAACGGAAAGGCCCUGCUUUUGUGGGGUGCUCGAGUGGCGAACGGGUGAGUAACACGUGAGUAACCUGCCCUUGACUUUGGGAUAACUUCAGGAAACUGGGGCUAAUACCGGAUAGGAGCUCCUGCUGCAUGGUGGGGGUUGGAAAGUUUCGGCGGUUGGGGAUGGACUCGCGGCUUAUCAGCUUGUUGGUGGGGUAGUGGCUUACCAAGGCUUUGACGGGUAGCCGGCCUGAGAGGGUGACCGGCCACAUUGGGACUGAGAUACGGCCCAGACUCCUACGGGAGGCAGCAGUGGGGAAUAUUGCACAAUGGGCGGAAGCCUGAUGCAGCAACGCCGCGUGCGGGAUGACGGCCUUCGGGUUGUAAACCGCUUUCGCCUGUGACGAAGCGUGAGUGACGGUAAUGGGUAAAGAAGCACCGGCUAACUACGUGCCAGCAGCCGCGGUGAUACGUAGGGUGCGAGCGUUGUCCGGAUUUAUUGGGCGUAAAGGGCUCGUAGGUGGUUGAUCGCGUCGGAAGUGUAAUCUUGGGGCUUAACCCUGAGCGUGCUUUCGAUACGGGUUGACUUGAGGAAGGUAGGGGAGAAUGGAAUUCCUGGUGGAGCGGUGGAAUGCGCAGAUAUCAGGAGGAACACCAGUGGCGAAGGCGGUUCUCUGGGCCUUUCCUGACGCUGAGGAGCGAAAGCGUGGGGAGCGAACAGGCUUAGAUACCCUGGUAGUCCACGCUGUAAACGGUGGGUACUAGGUGUGGGGUCCAUUCCACGGGUUCCGUGCCGUAGCUAACGCUUUAAGUACCCCGCCUGGGGAGUACGGCCGCAAGGCUAAAACUCAAAGGAAUUGACGGGGCCCCGCACAAGCGGCGGAGCAUGCGGAUUAAUUCGAUGCAACGCGUAGAACCUUACCUGGGUUUGACAUGGAUCGGGAGUGCUCAGAGAUGGGUGUGCCUCUUUUGGGGUCGGUUCACAGGUGGUGCAUGGCUGUCGUCAGCUCGUGUCGUGAGAUGUUGGGUUAAGUCCCGCAACGAGCGCAACCCUUGUUCACUGUUGCCAGCACGUUAUGGUGGGGACUCAGUGGAGACCGCCGGGGUCAACUCGGAGGAAGGUGGGGGUGACGUCAAGUCAUCAUGCCCCUUAUGUCCAGGGCUUCACGCAUGCUACAAUGGCUGGUACAGAGAGUGGCGAGCCUGUGAGGGUGAGCGAAUCUCGGAAAGCCGGUCUCAGUUCGGAUUGGGGUCUGCAACUCGACCUCAUGAAGUCGGAGUCGCUAGUAAUCGCAGAUCAGCAACGCUGCGGUGAAUACGUUCCCGGGGC
rnacentral:rRNA from 1 species